GGCCAAAUUACGUGCCAGCAGUCGCGGUAAUACGUAAAAGACGAGUGUUAUUCAUCUUUAAUCGGUUUAAAGGGUACCUAGACGGAAAAUCAAGCUUAAUUAAACUAAGGACUAGUUUUCUAGAGUUUGACAUGAGAAGGUACGAACUAUCAGAGGAGAGAUAAAAUUUGUUGAUACUGGUGGGACGGACAACGGCGAAGGCAAUCUUCUACUAAAAACUGACGUUGAGGGACGAAGCCUUGGGGAGCGAGAAGGAUUAGAUACCCUAGUAGUCCUUGGAGAAAAUUAUGAGUGCCAUAGACUAAAGUGAAAGAAGUUCUUUUAAAAGAACUUUGUAUCUGAGCCUUAAUUGGAUACAAAGGUCUGGAGUAGCAGUUUAUAAAUGAAAGUGUAAGCAUUCCACCUCAUGACUAAAGCGGCAACGCCCAAAUUGAAAUCAUUAGACCGUUUCUGAAACCAGUAGUGAAGUAUGUUAUUUAAUUCGAUAACCCGCGAAUAACCUUACCACGUUUUGAAUUUAUUAAACAAGUGUUGCACGGCUGUCUUCAGUUAAUGUCGUGAGAUUUUGGUUUGUUCCAUUAAUUAACG
rnacentral:rRNA from 1 species